rnacentral:rRNA from 1 species
UACGUAGGGGGGCAAGCGUUGUCCGGAUUCAUUGGGCGUAAAGAGCUCGUAGGCGGUUCGGCAAGUCGGGUGUGAAAACUCCAGGCUCAACCUGGAGACGCCACCCGAUACUGCUGUGACUCGAGUCCGGUAGGGGACCACGGAAUUCCUGGUGUGAGCGGUGGAAAUGACGCAGAGUAUCAGGAGGAACACCGGUGGCGAAGGCGGGUGGUCU